rnacentral:lncRNA from 1 species
AAAAUAUUGCCCCCUAUUGUAAAUAAAGAUUUACAUAUAUAUACAAUCCAAAUUGUCCAACAAGAUAAUAAAUCCUUAGAUAGUGAUGAAAUGUUACCAAGUACAUACAUUUGAUAUUUCAAGAGUUAAAAGUUUUAAAAUGUCUUGAUAAGAAACAUUCCUAGAAACCGUCACAUGCAUCUACAACAAUCAAUAAUUCAAAAUUCUCUUAAGUAACAUUCCUAGAGAUGCAGGAAAAGAUCUUCAUCACCGCCUCCGUCUUCCAUUUUUACUCCACCUACAAAAAGUAUAAAUAGUCAUUAUCCGAAUCCUAUCUAAAAAUUCACUUGGUCCACAAAACCAAGGGUAAAAAGAAAGUAUAAAAUUCUGCAUUAAAACCCAAAAUUGGAUGGCAAAAUGUUGGUUUAUCCCAUAAUAGACGGACAAAGAUAUUCCGGAGAUAAGGGAUCAUCAACACAUAAAAAGAUACUCCCAAGAAUGCAAAAUUCCAAAAAAGAGUUCACAAGAAGUACAAAAGGACACACGUCUACCACAUGCCAAUUAAUAAGGCAAAUAACUAAAUCAACUUAACAAGUAAUUUAGAACUCAACUUUAACAGAUCAGUGAAGAGGAAAAAUAGUAAAGAUUACAUGUUUCAUUAGGAAAGAACCAAGAAUCUCCUAGACAUAUUAAGAACCCAUCUCAGACGAUAAUGGAAUGCAGUACCAAUUCUAUUUGACAAUAAUGGAAUGAGACUUCUGACAUUAUUUUUCAAAAGUAAACUGUGCUUCAUGUAUGUAUUAGUAAAACCAAAUUGUCAAACGUAUGCUAUUACUCUCAUUCAUGGAGGUUUAAUACUCUUGUACUUGACUAAUUAGCUGGGAAGUCACCUUUAGAUCUAUCUAGCAGCUACAUAAUUCCUACGGGCAAUGUAUCAACUCCAGAGGAUGGCAAGAUUGGUAACCGAGCAGCCCUGUACUGGAUGCCGCAGCUACGUAGUUCCUACAGGCAAUAUAUCAUCUCCAUAUCUGAUUCAAGCAGCUUUUUAAAGAGCCAAUGGAAAAUUUUCUGAGGCAGAAACGGAAAUAUACAUAUAGCGUCGGCUCAUACACAACGGCCAUUUCAAAAUAGACAUCGCUGGUAAUCAGUAAAUCGACGAAUUUUCACAAACACAUAAUAUGCACAUAAACAGAAAUCAUUAAAUCAAAUUGAUAAUUGAGAUUGCGGCGAGUGCUGUUGAAGAGAUGCGGGAGAAGAGGGGACAAUGACGAAACAAUUGUCAAGAAUGGGGGACUUUAGAGUGUCCCAGUAGAGUAUUGCCAAGGCAUAUAACUCGAUUUUCCAUGGAAGUUCUGCUUAAAUAACUAAUUAUGUUUGAUAUUUGAACCAAAAUCAUGGCAUAGACUUUAGAGUGUACCAAUCUCAAAUGCCAUUAAAAGGUACUUCAGAGGACAAGAAGUGUGCAAAGCAGAAACAAUUAAAUCACCCAAGAAAUAUGCAAAGCAGAAACAGUUAGAAUAUUCAAAGGACAAAAUGACACAGAUAUACAUUCUAAGGCAGGUGUUCAGGACAACUAGAUCUAAAACAGCUGCAAAUAUUGCCCAAAAAUACAGCAAAACAGAUGCAAAUAUCGCCCAAAAAUGCAGCAAAACAGCUAAAGAAAUCACCUUCCCAAAGCUU